rnacentral:rRNA from 1 species
UACGUAGGGUGCAAGCGUUAAUCGGAAUUACUGGGCGUAAAGCGUGCGCAGGCGGUUCGUUGUGUCUGUGGUGAAAGCCCCGGGCUUAACCUGGGAAUGGCCAUGGAAACUGGCGAGCUGGAGUGUGGCAGAGGGGGGUGGAAUUCCGCGUGUAGCAGUGAAAUGCGUAGAGAUGCGGAGGAACACCGAUGGCGAAGGCAGCCCCCUGGGUCGACACUGACGCUCAGGCACGAAAGCGUGGGGAGCAAACAGG